rnacentral:rRNA from 1 species
GUCCACGCCGUAAACGAUGGGCACUAGGUGCUUAGGGGAGCGACCCUCUGGGUACCGGCGCUAACGCAUGAAGUGCCCCGCCUGGGGAGUACGGCCGCAAGGCUGAAACUCAAAGGAAUUGACGGGGGCCCGCACAAGCGGUGGAGCAUGUGGUUUAAUUCGACGCAACGCGCAGAACCUUACCUAGGCUUGACAUGCAUGGGAAAGCUGGUGGAAACAUCGGCCCCUCUUCGGAGCCCAUGCACAGGUGCUGCAUGGCUGUCGU